GGGAAGGUAGCUCAGCUUGGGAGAGCGCUAGACUGAAGAUCUAGUUGUCGUGUGUUCAAAUCACACCCUUCCCA
rnacentral:tRNA from 1 species